rnacentral:rRNA from 1 species
GAUGAACGCUGGCGGCGUGCCUAAUACAUGCAAGUCGAGCGAACAGACGAGGAGCUUGCUCCUCUGACGUUAGCGGCGGACGGGUGAGUAACACGUGGAUAACCUACCUAUAAGACUGGGAUAACUUCGGGAAACCGGAGCUAAUACCGGAUAAUAUAUUGAACCGCAUGGUUCAAUAGUGAAAGACGGUUUUGCUGUAACUUAUAGAUGGAUCCGCGCCGCAUUAGCUAGUUGGUAAGGUAACGGCUUACCAAGGCAACGAUGCGUAGCCGACCUGAGAGGGUGAUCGGCCACACUGGAACUGAACAACGGUCCAAACUCCUACGGGAGGCAGCAGUAGGGAAUCUUCCGCAAUGGGCGAAAGCCUGACGGAGCAACGCCGCGUGAGUGAUGAAGGUCUUCGGAUCGUAAAACUCUGUUAUUAGGGAAGAACAAAUGUGUAAGUAACUAUGCACGUCUUGACGGUACCUAAUCAGAAAGCCACGGCUAACUACGUG